CACGUAGUUAGCCGGGGCUUCUUGGUCAGGUACCGUCAUUGCUUUCUUCCCUGCUGACAGAGCUUUACAUACCGAAAUACUUCUUCACUCACGCGGCGUCGCUGGAUCAGGGUUCCCCCCCAUUGUCCAAUAUCCCCCACUGCUGCCUCCCGUAGGAGUUUGGGCCGUGUCUCAGUCCCAAUGUGGCCGUCCACCCUCUCAGGCCGGCUACUGAUCGUCGCCUUGGUGGGCCUUUACCCCGCCAACCAGCUAAUCAGACGCGGGUCCAUCUUGCACCACCGGAGUUUUUCACACUGUCCCAUGCAGGACCGUGCGCUUAUGCGGUAUUAGCACCUAUUUCUAAGUGUUAUCCCCCAGUGCAAGGCAGGUUACCCACGCGUUACUCACCCGUCCGCCACUAGAUUGCACUUGAUUUGACCGAAAUCGCAUCUCCGUGUAAUCCCCGUUCGACUUGCAUGUGUUAAGCACGCCGCCAGCGUUCAUCCUGAGCCAGGAUCAAACU
rnacentral:rRNA from 1 species